AGCGAACGCUGGCGGCAGGCUUAACACAUGCAAGUCGAACGAACCUUUCGGGGUUAGUUGCGGUCGUGUGAGUAACACGUGGGACCGUGCCUUUAGGUUCCUAAUACCUCACGGUAACUUGUGCUAAUACCGAUUGUGCCCUUCCUGGGAAAGAUUAAUCGCCUUUAGAGCGGUCCGCGUCUGAUUAGCUAGUUGGUUGGGGUAAUGGCUCAUCCCGGCGAAGAUCUGUAGCUGGUAUGGGAGGAUGAUCAGCCACAUUGGGAAUGAGACACGGACCAAACUGGUACGCGAGGCAGCAGUGGGGAGUAUUACGCAAUGAGGGAAAGUGUAGCGCAGCCGUGCGGCGGGAAUGAAGAAGGUCUUAGGAAUGUAAAAUUCUUUCAACGGGGACGAUAAUGACGGUACCCGGUGAAGAAGCCCCGGCUAACUUCGUG
rnacentral:rRNA from 1 species